rnacentral:rRNA from 1 species
AUUGAACGCUGGCGGCAGGCCUAACACAUGCAAGUCGAACGAGUGGCGGACGGGUGAGUAAUGUCUGGGAAACUGCCCGAUGGAGGGGGAUAACUACUGGAAACGGUAGCUAAUACCGCAUACCAUCGGAUGUGCCCAGAUGGGAUUAGCUAGGAGGGGGGGUAACGGCUCACCUAGGCGACGAUCCCUCGCUGGGCUGAGAGGAUGACCAGCGACCAUGGAACUGAGACACGGUCCAGACUCCUACGGGAGGCAGCAGUGGGUAAUAUUGCACAAGGGGCGCAAGCCUGAUGCAGCCAUGCCGCGUGUAUGAAGAAGGCCGUCGGGUUGUAAAGUACUUUCAGCGAGGAGGCGUUACUCGCAGAAGAAGCACCGGCUAACUCCGUGCCAGCCGCCGCGGUAAUUC